rnacentral:rRNA from 1 species
GUUGAAGCGCGGGUAAGACCGCGUGGAGGACCGAACCCACCUGGGUUGAAAACCGGGGGGAUGACCUGGGGCUAGGGGUGAAAGGCCAAUCAAAUUCCGUGAUAGCUGGUUCUCUCCGAAAUGCAUUUAGGUGCAGCGUCGGUUGAUUGCAUCGCGGGGGUAGAGCUACUGGAUGCUUGCGGGCCCGUGUCGGGUACCAAUAGCAGCCAAACUCCGAAUACCGUGGAUGUGUAUUCCGGCAGUGAGUCGACGGGGGAUAAGCUCCGUCGUCGAGAGGGAGACAGCCCAGAUCGUCGUCUAAGGUCCCGAAGCGUGUGCUAAGUGGGAAAGGAUGUGGAGUCGCAUAGACAGCCAGGAGGUUGGCUCAGAAGCAGCCAUCCUUGAAAGAGUGCGUAACAGCUCACUGGUCUAGUGGUUCCGCGCCGACAAUGUAGCGGGGCUCAAGCACACCACCGAAGACGCGGCAGCGGCCUUUGCGGCCGUUGGGUAGGAGAGCGUCCCGCGUGGGGCGAAGCGGCCGGGGAACCGUGCCGUGGACCGCGCGGGAGUGAGAAUGCAGACAUGAGUAGCGAGAGACGGGUGAGGAUCCCGUCCGCUGGAUGACCAAGGGUUCCGGGGCCACGUUCGUCGUCCCCGGGUGAGUCGGGUCCUAAGGCGAGGCCGACAGGCGUAGUCGAAUGGAUGAACGGGUGGAUAUUCCCGUACCGGCGGCGUACCGUAAGAGCCGAACGGAUGAGUACUAACCUCCGGUCGCGUGGCGUCGUUCCCUUCGGGGUUCGGGGCGCGUGGCUGUUGGGAGCGUAGUCCUGGUAGGCUAGCGCACAGGGGUGACACGGAAUGGGAGCCGGCCGCGGAGGUGGUUUUCCGUGGUCAAGCACGCAGCCCGUCCCAUAGGCAAAUCCGUGGGACGCAUAGGGUGAGGUGUGAUGAUGGGCGUCCUUUGGACGCGAUAUCCGGUGGUCCAGGCCGUCGAGAAAAGCCUCGGCGCGAGGGGCGUCGCCGCCCGUACCCCAAACCGACACUGGUGGUCAGGUAGAGAAUACCAAGGCGAUCGAGCGAAUCCUGGUCAAGGAACUCGGCAAAUCACUCCCGUGCCUUCGGUAUAAGGGAGACCCCCGGGCGUGAAGAGGCUUGCCCUCGGAGCGUUGGGGGGUGGCACAGACCAGGGGGUAGCGACUGUUUACCAAAAACACAGGUGCAUGCGAAGGCGCAAGCCGCUGUAUAUGCACUGACGCCUGCCCGGUGCCGGAAGGUUAAGAGGAUCCGUCAGCCCCUUUUGGGGUGAAGCGGUGAAUUCAAGCCCCGGUAAACGGCGGUGGUAACUAUAACCAUCCUAAGGUAGCGAAAUUCCUUGUCGGGUAAGUUCCGACCUGCACGAAUGGCGUAACGACUUCCCCACUGUCUCGACCAGGAGCUCGGCGAAAUUGCAGUACGAGUAAAGAUGCUCGUUAAGCGCAGAAGGACGAAAAGACCCCGGGACCUUUACUAUACCUUGGUAUUGGCGUUAGGCGCGGAUUGUGUAGCAUAGGCGGGAGGCUUCGAAGCAUGGGCGCCAGCCCGUGUGGAGCCGCAAGGUGAAAUACCGCUCUGUUCUCGUUUGACGUCUCACCUCGAACAGUCAUCCUGUUCAGGGACAGUGCCUGGCGGGUAGUUUAACUGGGGCGGUUGCCUCCCAAAGAGUAACGGAGGCGCUCAAAGGUCCGCUCAGCCCGGUUGGCAAUCGGGUUUCGAGUGUAAUCGCACAAGCGGGCUUGACUGCGAGAACGACGGUUCGGGCAGGGACGAAAGUCGGAGAUAGUGAUCCGGUGCCGGCGCACGGGCGCGGCAUCGCUCAACGGAUAAAAGGUACCCCGGGGAUAACAGGCUGAUCAUUCCCAAGAGUCCAUAUCGACGGGAUGGUUUGGCACCUCGAUGUCGGCUCGUCGCAUCCUGGGGCUGGAGCAGGUCCCAAGGGUUCGGCUGUUCGCCGAUUAAAGCGGCACGCGAGCUGGGUUCAGAACGUCGUGAGACAGUUUGGUCUCUAUCCUCUGCGCUCGUUGGAA